UUCUGUUACUUUUGCAAUGCCGUGCAGAAACUUCCCACGUGCGCACAAUGCGGGAAAACCAAGUGUAUGAAGACUUCAGACUGUGUCAUCAAACACCCUGGCAUCAACAGCACUGGGAUGGGAAUGGUGGGGGCAGUGUGCGACUUCUGUGAAGCUUGGGUGUGCCACAGCAGGAAAUGCCUGAGCACUCACGCCUGCGUGUGUCCUCUGACUGAAGCCGACUGCAUCGAGUGUGAACGCGGUGUGUGGGACCACGGUGAGGACGCCACCCC